GGGUGGUAGUGACGUGUUGAGACCCUGGACUCCGGUCGGUUCAUGACGUACCGCCACACGACAUCGAAGUCCAGCGGUCUCAACGACCGCAUCUCCGCCCGCGACAGGGGGUCCCUGAGACCGGCGUUAAAAAGCACCGCCACCUCCUCCUCCCCGAAGACAUCCUCCUCUGCGGCAUCCAGGAACCUAUACAGAUAGUCCUCGAUGUCAUCGUUCCCCUGACGAAUGCCGCAGAGGAGGCGAGCCUGGUGGGACCGUCUCGUGCCCAUGCUGCCUACUGGGUUCGUAGUGGCUGUUGGAUUCUGUCACGGAUGAGGUGCAAGAGAACCCAAAUGCAGGCAGGCAAUGGCAAUGACGGGGUUAACAAGAAUACUUUAUUUACAAAUAACAAAGGUACCAAAACAAAACACCCACGACGGGGAAAACUGAACUAAGAAUGUACUGUAUAAAAGAUAAACACAAAAACAUCCCUCAAGGGGGAAAAAACGAGAACUAAAUAACACGAAGACUAACAGGCAAGACCAGGCAGGAACAGGACGAGAAACUCACAGGAACCACAGACAGAGGACGUAGAACCAACACGACGAACUGCAUACACAACACGUAAUAUUGAACAAUCCAACAGCACAGGACAAAGAAACAUGAGGGUAUAUAUAGGGGAAGACAAACGAGGGAUAACGAGCAAGGACAGGUGUGGAACAUCAAACACUCAGGGAAAGAUAACAAGGAAACGAGAGGAGUGGGGCCAAUGACAAGACACUGGAGAGAAUGCAUAUUACUGUCAAAUGAACAAUAAUAUGUUUCUCUCCACACCUAACCAAAGACUUUGUCAUGGCUCUGCUACAGGACCAAGAAAACAUGACUAAAUGAAGCAGAGCCAUGACAGAUAUUAACAGUAACAGGUUACUCCAGGAUUUCUUUGACUGUAUUUAUAUAUUUUUGUGUAAAAAUAGUGAGGGCUGGUUUACUGAUAAGAUGUAACUUGAUUAUUUUGUGUCUCACAGAAAACAGACCAGAAUCACCAAAACAAACAGCACUACUUCACAUAAUCCGCUCAUGCGCUGGAGUUAUUAUGGUCUGUCUGAUGAUCGGCUUCAUCAUCUGCAUUCACAGGAGGAAAAGAAGCUGAUGGGGACAGAAUCCUGUUGUCACUCAUUAUUCUGCUGGCUCGUCUCUGUGACCAAUGGAAAAUAAAAAAUAAAACCACCACACGCUGGUUAACCAUAACACCGCUCGGUCUAUUUGUAGAAU